rnacentral:rRNA from 1 species
UAMCAUGCAGUCGAGCGGUAAGGCCCUUCGGGGUACACGAGCGGCGAACGGGUGAGUAACACGUGGGUGAUCUGCCCUGCACUUCGGGAUAAGCCUGGGAAACUGGGUCUAAUACCGGAUAUGACCUCUGGGUGCAUGCCUGGGGGUGGAAAGGUUUACUGGUGCAGGAUGGGCCCGCGGCCUAUCAGCUUGUUGGUGGGGUAAUGGCCUACCAAGGCGACGACGGGUAGCCGGCCUGAGAGGGCGACCGGCCACACUGGGACUGAGACACGGCCCAGACUCCUACGGGAGGCAGCAGUGGGGAAUAUUGCACAAUGGGCGAAAGCCUGAUGCAGCGACGCCGCGUGAGGGAUGACGGCCUUCGGGUUGUAAACCUCUUUCAGCAGGGACGAAGCGAGAGUGACGGUACCUGCAGAAGAAGCACCGGCCAACUACGUGCCAGCAGCCGCGGUAAUACGUAGGGUGCGAGCGUUGUCCGGAAUUACUGGGCGUAAAGAGCUCGUAGGCGGUUUGUCGCGUCGUCUGUGAAAACCAGCAGCUCAACUGCUGGCUUGCAGGCGAUACGGGCAGACUUGAGUACUGCAGGGGAGACUGGAAUUCCUGGUGUAGCGGUGAAAUGCGCAGAUAUCAGGAGGAACACCGGUGGCGAAGGCGGGUCUCUGGCAGUACUGACGCUGAGGAGCGAA